rnacentral:rRNA from 1 species
CCUACGGGUGGCAGCAGUGAGGAAUAUUGGUCAAUGGUCGGGAGACUGAACCAGCCAAGUCGCGUGCGGGAUGAAGGUACAGAGUAUCGUAAACCUCUUUUGUCAGGGAACAAAGGCGGGGACGUGUCCCCGGAUGAGUGUACCUGAUGAAAAAGCAUCGGCUAACUCCGUGCCGGCAGCCGCGGUAAUACGGAGGAUGCGAGCGUUAUCCGGUUUUAUUGGGUUUAAGGGGUGCGCAGGCGGUCUUUUAAGUCAGCGGUAAAAGCCUGGGGGUCAACCCCGGCCCGCCGUUGAAACUGGCAGUCUCGAGUUGGAGAGAAGUAUGCGGAAUGCGCGGUGUAGCGGUGAAAUGCAUAGAUAUCGCGCAGAACUCCGAGUGCGAAGGCAGCAUGCCGGCUCCACACUGACGCUGAGGCACGAAAGCGUGGGUAUCGAACAGGAUUAGAUACCCCUGUAGUC